GCGCCAUUUACUAGUGCCAAGUUUAUGUUUAUUGUUUUGAUAAUAUUAUUUGCUGAAGUUCAGUGAGAAAUAUAUUUCAGUUAAAUGUGAGAGAAUAUUAUGACUAUAUAUGGUGAUUCCUUCCUGUAUGUUUACCACUGUGAAUUUGAGUUUAGUCCUGUGAGGCUUCCGUACACACGUGACUUAGGGACAGGAAGUUAACUUUUAUUGUGAAAUGACUUUUAUUGUGAAAAGGUUCAGUUAAAUAAAUGAGUUACCGGCGGAGCAACACGGUUGUUUUAUCGUUGCCGUUGGCGUUGCCGUUGGCGUUGCUACCGGGCCGACUCAACGCGUAAAACAUUGUGAUGUCGUCCUUGAAGUGUGGUUAAUGACAGAAAGUAAGUUAAGACGAAGAUAGAAGUAUGAAGACUAAAGAUAGCCACUACAUUAACUACAUUUAAAUAAAUGA